rnacentral:rRNA from 1 species
GUGCCAGCAGCCGCGGUAAUACGUAGGGGGCAAGCGUUGUCCGGAUUUAUUGGGCGUAAAGCGCGUGUAGGUGGCCAUGUAGGUCCGCUGUGAAAACUUGAGGCUCAACCUCAAGCUGUCGGUGGAAACCCCAUGGCUAGAGUCCGGAAGAGGAGAGUGGAAUUCCUGGUGUAGCGGUGAAAUGCGCAGAUAUCAGGAAGAACACCAAUGGCGAAGGCAGCUCUCUGGGACGGUACUGACACUGAGACGCGAAAGCGUGGGGAGCGAACAGGAUUAGAUACCCUGGUAGUCC